rnacentral:rRNA from 1 species
UAGGGAAUCUUCGGCAAUGGGGGCAACCCUGACCGAGCAACGCCGCGUGAGUGAAGAAGGUUUUCGGAUCGUAAAGCUCUGUUGUAAGAGAAGAACGUGUGUGAGAGUGGAAAGUUCACACAGUGACGGUAACUUACCAGAAAGGGACGGCUAACUACGUGCCAGCAGCCGCGGUAAUACGUAGGUCCCGAGCGUUGUCCGGAUUUAUUGGGCGUAAAGCGAGCGCAGGCGGUUGAAUAAGUCUGAAGUUAAAGGCAGUGGCUUAACCAUUGUUCGCUUUGGAAACUGUUAAACUUGAGUGCAGAAGGGGAGAGUGGAAUUCCAUGUGUAGCGGUGAAAUGCGUAGAUAUAUGGAGGAACACCGGUGGCGAAAGCGGCUCUCUGGUCUGUAACUGACGCUGAGGCUCGAAAGCGUGGGGAGCAAACAGG